rnacentral:rRNA from 1 species
AUUGAACGCUAGCGGGAUGCCUUACACCUGCAAGUCGAACGGAGUGGCGAACGGGUGAGUAAUGUAUCGGAACGUGCCCAGUAGCGGGGGAAAACUACGCGAAAGCGUAGCUAAUACCGCAUACUCUUGGAGCGGCCGAUAUCGGAUUCGCUAGUGGGUGGGGGAACGGCUCACCAAGGCGACGAUCCGUAGCUGGUUUGAGAGGAAGUACAGCCACACUGGGACUGAGACACGUCCCAGACUCCUACGGGAGGCAGCAGUGGGGAAUUUUGGACAAUGGGGGAAACCCUGAUCCAGCCAUCCCGCGUGUGCGAUGAAGGCCUUCGGGUUGUAAAGCACUGUUGGCAGGAAAGCGGUACCUGCAGAAUAAGCACCGGCUAACUACGUGCCAGCAGCCGCGGUAAUUC